rnacentral:rRNA from 1 species
CUUAGCAGAGAUGCUUUGGUGCCUUCGGGAACUCUGAGACAGGUGCUGCAUGGCUGUCGUCAGCUCGUGUUGUGAAAUGUUGGGUUAAGUCCCGCAACGAGCGCAACCCUUAUCCUUUGUUGCCAGCGGCUCGGCCGGGAAACUCAAAGGAGACUGCCGGUGAUAAACCGGAGGAAGGUGGGGAUGACGUCAAGUCAUCAUGGCCCUUACGGCCAGGGCUACACACGUGCUACAAUGGCGCAUACAAAGAGAAGCGACCUCGCGAGAGCAAGCGGACCUCACAAAGUGCGUCGUAGUCCGGAUUGGAGUCUGCAACUCGACUCCAUGAAGUCGGAAUCGCUAGUAAUCGUAGAUCAGAAUGCUACGGUGAAUACGUUCCCGGGCCUUGUACACACCGCCCGUCACACCAUGGGAGUGGGUUGCAAAAGAAGUAGGUAGCUUAACCUUCGGGAGGGCGCUUACCACUUUGUGAUUCAUGACUGGGGUGAAGUCGUAACAAGGUAGGCGUAGCGAG